CACUAAGAAGCUUUUAUAGCACUAGCCUUUUAAGUUAGAGAGGAAGACCGCCGCUUCCUUAGUGA
rnacentral:tRNA from 1 species